GAUGAACGCUGGCGGCGUGCUUAACACAUGCAAGUCGAACGGAAAGGCUCCUGCUUGCAGGGGUACUCGAGUGGCGAACGGGUGAGUAACACGUGGGUGAUCUGCCCUGCACUUCGGGAUAAGCCUGGGAAACUGGGUCUAAUACCGGAUAGGACGAUGGUUUGGAUGCCAUUGUGGAAAGUUUUUUCGGUGUGGGAUGAGCUCGCGGCCUAUCAGCUUGUUGGUGGGGUAAUGGCCUACCAAGGCGUCGACGGGUAGCCGGCCUGAGAGGGUGUGCGGCCACAUUGGGACUGAGAUGCGGCCCAGACUCCUACGGGAGGGAGCAGUGGGGAAUAGUGCACAAUGGGCGGAAGCCUGAUGCAGCGACGCCGCGUGGGGGAUGACGGCCUUCGGUUUGUAAAGUCCUUUCGCUAGGGACGAAGCGCAAGUGACGGUACCUGGAGAAGAAGCACCGGCUAACUACGUG
rnacentral:rRNA from 1 species